AUCCAGCUGACGAGUCUUGUAUAGGACGAAACGUGUGUCCUGGAU
rfam:Schistosoma haematobium scaffold2111_3, whole genome shotgun sequence.